rnacentral:rRNA from 1 species
GAUGAACGCUAGCGGGAGGCUUAACACAUGCAAGUCGAGGGGUAAAUGGUAGCAAUACUAUGAGACCGGCGGACGGGUGCGUAACGCGUAUGCAACAUACCUUUAGCAGGGGGAUAGCCCGUGGAAACGCGGAUUAAUAUUCCAUAGUCCAGCAGUAUCGCAUGGUACCACUGGUAAAGAUUAAUCGGCUAAAGAUUGGCAUGCGUCUGAUUAGUUAGUUGGUAGGGUAACGGCCUACCAAGGCGACGAUCAGUAGGGGUUCUGAGAGGACUUACCCCCCACACUGGUACUGAGACACGGACCAGACUCCUACGGGAGGCAGCAGUGAGGAAUAUUGGUCAAUGGGCGGAAGCCUGAACCAGCCAUCCCGCGUGAAGGAAGACAGCCUUACGGGUUGUAAACUUCUUUUCUGUUUGAAGAAUAAGCCCGUUGAGACGGGUGAUGCCGGUAGGACAGGAAUAAGCAUCGGCUAACUCCGUGCCAGCAGCCGGGUAAAAGUCACGUCG